rnacentral:tRNA from 1 species
GUUAAUGUAGCUUAAUAAUAAAGCAAGGCACUGAAAAUGCUUAGAUGGGUAUCCUAUACUCCAUAAACA